rnacentral:lncRNA from 1 species
GCUCCUGUGGCCGUUUUGGACUCUUGGGGCCACUUUGCGCCCGUGGCCACCUCGGGCUCGCAGCACCGGGGCUGCCCCCAGCACCCCGACCCCAGCACCCCAACCCCAGCACCCCUCGUGCAGCUGGCACCCGCUGCCCCCAGCCACCGCUGUCCCUCCGUGCCCCCUGUGCCCGGGGUUGUUGUGCCCCAGCGCGUGCUGCCAGCAGAUUUAAAGCCUCUCCCUCGUUACCCGAGGCUGCGGUGGCAGCCGUCCCCUCCGGAGCCACCUGGGUCCCUGCUGGAGGUAGAGGAAGAUUUUGGGAUCUGGGGAUCUCUGCCCCACGCACAGGGGGGGCAGCGCACACGUCUGGUGCCCACCGCAGGGCACGGCGCUGCAGGUUUGCACCCGGAGCUUUUUCUGGGGAUUCCUGCUCAGCAGCUGAGCACCUCCCCGAGCUGUGCGCCCACCAGGAUGCUUCCGACACAGGCACGAGCUCAGCACCCCCCCCCCUCACAAACGAGGAUGUGGGGAGCAAAUUCCUGGCCCGUGAGCCAGGAGAAGCUUGGGCUGGGAACCUGGGGGCACCGCAGCGCCCAGCAGCUCGUCCCCAGCCGCUUUCUAGCUCACCAAAAGCUGAUCCCAAGCCACCCCCCGAGGGCCACCGGGGCACCCCGGGCACAAGAGCCAUCCCCCCAAGCACCCCCGUGCCCGUCCCCAGCCAAGACACCCGAGGGACAGAGAGCGCAGGGCCCGGUGACACGAGUAGUGCGUUUAUUGGAGAAUCUCACAUGCAGGAACCAAAGUAGAGAUGAUUUCUGGAACAAGUUAAACGACGGCGGAUUAAUACAGGGUAGGCUCGGCGAGCCUUGUGGUCAGCACGGAGGAGGUAAACAAUGACUGGGCUGGAUGAGCCUGGCCCAGCAGGGAUGGAGAUAGCACAGGCAGAGCCCCGCAGGAUCCCAGCAGCCAAAAGGAGACCUCAGCACCCCAGUACGCACCAGUCUCCCCACUGAGGCUGUUCCCUUUCAAAACCACCGGGGCACGUUUUUAGGAGCAGUUCUGUGAGCCUCGCCGAAGCACCCUGGAUGUCCGCACGGCGCGUUGUGAGCUACCACACCUGCCCAAGGAGCAGCUGAAAGCUACACGCAACAAUUAAAAAAAAAACAACAAAAAAAAACCCGAAGGAGGCAUUUAAAUAGAAAGCAUUCAUUUCUUACACCUCGGGGUUAACAGAAGGGGUUAAAAACACACCGGAAAGGGAAUACACUGACAAAAUAAAUAUCUCAACCUAGGACA